AACGAACGCUGGCGGCAUGCCUAAUACAUGCAAGUCGAACGAUCACUUCGGUGGUAGUGGCGCACGGGUGCGUAACGCGUGGGAAUCUGCCCUUGGGUUCGGAAUAACAUCGGGAAACUGAUGCUAAUACCGGAUGAUGACGUAAGUCCAAAGAUUUAUCGCCCAGGGAUGAGCCCGCGUAGGAUUAGCUAGUUGGUGGGGUAAAGGCCUACCAAGGCGACGAUCCUUAGCUGGUCUGAGAGGAUGAUCAGCCACACUGGGACUGAGACACGGCCCAGACUCCUACGGGAGGCAGCAGUAGGGAAUAUUGGACAAUGGGGGCAACCCUGAUCCAGCAAUGCCGCGUGAGUGAUGAAGGCCUUAGGGUUGUAAAGCUCUUUUACCAGAGAUGAUAAUGACAGUAUCUGGGGAAUAAGCCCCGGCUAACUCCGUG
rnacentral:rRNA from 1 species